rnacentral:rRNA from 1 species
AUUGAACGCUGGCGGCAUGCUUUACACAUGCAAGUCGAACGGCAGCGGGGAGGAGCUUGCUUCUCUGCCGGCGAGUGGCGAACGGGUGAGUAAUACAUCGGAACGUGUCGAGAAGAGGGGGAUAACCACCCGAAAGGGUGGCUAAUACCGCAUAAAUUCUGAGGAAGAAAGCUGGGGACCUAGGAAUAGGCCUAGCGCUUUUUGAGCGGCCGAUGUCGGAUUAGCUAGUUGGUGAGGUAAAGGCUCACCAAGGCGAAGAUCUGUAGCGGGUCUGAGAGGAUGAUCCGCCACACUGGGACUGAGACACGGCCCAGACUCCUACGGGAGGCAGCAGUGGGGAAUUUUGGACAAUGGGGGCAACCCUGAUCCAGCCAUGCCGAGUGUAUGAAGAAGGCCUUAGGGUUGUAAAGUACUUUUGUUAGGGAAGAAAAGUCAGCUGUGAAUAAUGGCUGAUACUGACGGUACCUAAAGAAUAAGCACCGGCUAACUACGUG